rnacentral:lncRNA from 1 species
GGAAAUUUAUGCAUCAAAACCUAGUGAUGUACAUAAGAAUUUAGGAUGGAUGAAUAUAUACAAGUAAUUGUGAAAGAAUAAAAAGAAUUAUACACAAAGGCUAAUCAUGUACACUGAAAUUGGGGGUCGAGUCAUUCAUGUAUGAAUACGUACUUGAGAUUUUGUAAUCGAUUGGGCGAAUGGUCUCGUGGAUGCCGCCGGAGGCCGAAUGGCCGGGUCGCAAACACGAACGAACGACGCAGCAAAAGGUUGUCGGCCUGCCACCGCGCUUCUCAACGACAGUGAACUAGAACCUGAAUCCCGAGCGACAGAGAAGGACAGACAGGCGGUGAGGCACCGAGCGACGUUUCAGGAAGCCUCGAAGACGAACUGAUGAACCCCGCGGGCCACGGCGACAACAAACUAGGAUCUGAAUCCCGAGCAGCCGGAGCUGGUAGGCAGGCGGCGACGCGCAGAGUGACGUAUCAUGAGACUCAAAGAAGUACGAACUGACGAACUGAAACGAUCACCAGAUUGCU